GACGAACGCUGGCGGCGUGCCUAAUACAUGCAAGUAGGACGCAGUUGCGAACGGGUGAGUAACGCGUAGGUAACUACCUAUUAGAGGGGGAUAACUAUUGGAAACGAUAGCUAAUAACGCAUACUAGUAGAGGGACCUGCGUUGUAUUAGCUAGUAGGUAGGGUAACGGCCUAACUAGGCAACGAUACAUAGCCGACCUGGGAUGGUGAUCGGCCAAACUGGGAAUGGGACACGGCCCAGACUCCUACGGGAGGCAGCAGUAGGGAAUCUUCGGCAAUGGGGGGAACCCUGACCGAGCAACGCCGCGUGAGUGAAGAAGGGUUUCGGAUCGUAAAGCUCUGUUGUUAAGGAAGCGGUACUUAACCAGAAAGGGACGGCUAACUACGUGCCAGCAGCCGCGGUAAUAC
rnacentral:rRNA from 1 species